UACGUAGGGGGCAAGCGUUGUCCGGAUUCAUUGGGCGUAAAGAGCGUGUAGGCGGCCAGGUAGGUCGGUUGUGAAAACUGGAGGCUCAACCUUCAGAGGUCGAUCGAAACCAUCUGGCUAGAGUCCGGGAGAGGAGAGUGGAAUUCCUGGUGUAGCGGUGAAAUGCGUAGAUAUCGGGAGGAACACCAGAGGCGAAGGCGGCGCACUGGACGGCAACUGACACUCAACUGCGAAAGCGUGGGGAGCAAACAGG
rnacentral:rRNA from 1 species